AACGAACGCUGGCGGCAUGCCUAACACAUGCAAGUCGAACGAGACCUUCGGGUCUAGUGGCGCACGGGUGCGUAACGCGUGGGAAUCUGCCCUUGGGUUCGGAAUAACAGCGAGAAAUUGCUGCUAAUACCGGAUGAUGACGUAAGUCCAAAGAUUAUCGCCCAAGGAUGAGCCGCGUAGGAUUAGCUAGUUGGUGAGGUAAAGGCUCACCAAGGCGACGAUCCUUAGCUGGUCUGAGAGGAUGAUCAGCCACACUGGGACUGAGACACGGCCCAGACUCCUACGGGAGGCAGCAGUGGGGAAUAUUGGACAAUGGGCGAAAGCCUGAUCCAGCAAUGCCGCGUGAGUGAUGAAGCUAGGUGUAAGCUCUUUUACCCGGGAUGAUAAUGACAGUA
rnacentral:rRNA from 1 species